UACGUAGGAGGCAAGCGUUGUCCGGAAUUACUGGGCGUAAAGCGCGUGUAGGUGGUGGGACAAGUCUGCUGUGAAAGCGCCUGGCUUAACCGGGCGAGGUCGGCGGAAACUGUCCGACUAGAGGACGGUAGAGGGGGGUGGAAUUCCCGGUGUAGUGGUGAAAUGCGUAGAUAUCGGGAGGAACACCAGUGGCGAAGGCGAUCUUCUGGACGGAUACUGACGCUGAGGCGCGAAAGCUAGGGGAGCAAACGGG
rnacentral:rRNA from 1 species